GGGUUGUGAGGUUAAGCGACUAAGCGUACACGGUGGAUGCCCUGGCAGUCAGAGGCGAUGAAGGACGUGCUAAUCUGCGAAAAGCGUCGGUAAGGUGAUAUGAACCGUUAUAACCGGCGAUGUCCGAAUGGGGAAACCCAGUGCAAUUCGUUGCACUAUCGUUAACUGAAUACAUAGGUUAACGAGGCGAACCGGGGGAACUGAAACAUCUAAGUACCCCGAGGAAAAGAAAUCAACCGAGAUUCCCCCAGUAGCGGCGAGCGAACGGGGAGCAGCCCAGAGUCUGAAUCAGCUUGUGUGUUAGUGGAACGGUCUGGAAAGUCCGACGGUACAGGGUGAUAGUCCCGUACACCAAAAUGCACAGGCUGUGAACUCGAAGAGUAGGGCGGGACACGUGGUAUCCUGUCUGAAUAUGGGGGGACCAUCCUCCAAGGCUAAAUACUCCUGACUGACCGAUAGUGAACCAGUACCGUGAGGGAAAGGCGAAAAGAACCCCGGCGAGGGGAGUGAAAAAGAACCUGAAACCGUGUACGUACAAGCAGUGGGAGCACCUUCGGGUGUGACUGCGUACCUUUUGUAUAAUGGGUCAGCGACUUAUAUUCUGUAGCAAGGUUAACCGUAUAGGGGAGCCGCAGGGAAACCGAGUCUUAACUGGGCGUUAAGUUGCAGGGUAUAGACCCGAAACCCGGUGAUCUAGCCAUGGGCAGGUUGAAGGUUGGGUAACACUAACUGGAGGACCGAACCGACUAAUGUUGAAAAAUUAGCGGAUGACUUGUGGCUGGGGGUGAAAGGCCAAUCAAACCGGGAGAUAGCUGGUUCUCCCCGAAAGCUAUUUAGGUAGCGCCUCGUGAACUCAUCUUCGGGGGUAGAGCACUGUUUCGGCUAGGGGGUCAUCCCGACUUACCAACCCGAUGCAAACUACGAAUACCGAAGAAUGUUAUCACGGGAGACACACGGCGGGUGCUAACGUCCGUCGUGAAGAGGGAAACAACCCAGACCGCCAGCUAAGGUCCCAAAGUCAUGGUUAAGUGGGAAACGAUGUGGGAAGGCACAGACAGCCAGGAUGUUGGCUUAGAAGCAGCCAUCAUUUAAAGAAAGCGUAAUAGCUCACUGGUCGAGUCGGCCUGCGCGGAAGAUGUAACGGGGCUAAACCAUGCACCGAAGCUGCGGCAGCGACACUAUGUGUUGUUGGGUAGGGGAGCGUUCUGUAAGCCUGCGAAGGUGUGCUGUGAGGCAUGCUGGAGGUAUCAGAAGUGCGAAUGCUGACAUAAGUAACGAUAAAGCGGGUGAAAAGCCCGCUCGCCGGAAGACCAAGGGUUCCUGUCCAACGUUAAUCGGGGCAGGGUGAGUCGACCCCUAAGGCGAGGCCGAAAGGCGUAGUCGAUGGGAAACAGGUUAAUAUUCCUGUACUUGGUGUUACUGCGAAGGGGGGACGGAGAAGGCUAUGUUAGCCGGGCGACGGUUGUCCCGGUUUAAGCAUGUAGGCUGAUUGUCCAGGCAAAUCCGGAUAAUCAAGGCUGAGGUGUGAUGACGAGGCACUACGGUGCUGAAGUAACAAAUGCCCUGCUUCCAGGAAAAGCCUCUAAGCAUCAGGUAACAUUAAAUCGUACCCCAAACCGACACAGGUGGUCAGGUAGAGAAUACCAAGGCGCUUGAGAGAACUCGGGUGAAGGAACUAGGCAAAAUGGUGCCGUAACUUCGGGAGAAGGCACGCUGGUGUGUAGGUGAAGUCCCUGCGGAUGGAGCUGAGACCAGUCGAAGAUACCAGCUGGCUGCAACUGUUUAUUAAAAACACAGCACUGUGCAAACACGAAAGUGGACGUAUACGGUGUGACGCCUGCCCGGUGCCGGAAGGUUAAUUGAUGGGGUUAUCCGUAAGGAGAAGCUCUUGAUCGAAGCCCCGGUAAACGGCGGCCGUAACUAUAACGGUCCUAAGGUAGCGAAAUUCCUUGUCGGGUAAGUUCCGACCUGCACGAAUGGCGUAAUGAUGGCCAGGCUGUCUCCACCCGAGACUCAGUGAAAUUGAACUCGCUGUGAAGAUGCAGUGUACCCGCGGCAAGACGGAAAGACCCCGUGAACCUUUACUAUAGCUUGACACUGAACAUUGAGCCUUGAUGUGUAGGAUAGGUGGGAGGCUUUGAAGCGUGGACGCCAGUCUGCGUGGAGCCAACCUUGAAAUACCACCCUUUAAUGUUUGAUGUUCUAACGUUGGCCCCUGACCGGGUUGCGGACAGUGUCUGGUGGGUAGUUUGACUGGGGCGGUCUCCUCCCAAAGCGUAACGGAGGAGCACGAAGGUUAGCUAAUCCUGGUCGGACAUCAGGAGGUUAGUGCAAUGGCAUAAGCUAGCUUGACUGCGAGCGUGACGGCGCGAGCAGGUGCGAAAGCAGGUCAUAGUGAUCCGGUGGUUCUGAAUGGAAGGGCCAUCGCUCAACGGAUAAAAGGUACUCCGGGGAUAACAGGCUGAUACCGCCCAAGAGUUCAUAUCGACGGCGGUGUUUGGCACCUCGAUGUCGGCUCAUCACAUCCUGGGGCUGAAGUAGGUCCCAAGGGUAUGGCUGUUCGCCAUUUAAAGUGGUACGCGAGCUGGGUUUAGAACGUCGUGAGACAGUUCGGUCCCUAUCUGCCGUGGGCGCUGGAGAAUUGAGGGGGGCUGCUCCUAGUACGAGAGGACCGGAGUGGACGCAUCACUGGUGUUCGGGUUGUCAUGCCAAUGGCACUGCCCGGUAGCUAAAUGCGGAAGAGAUAAGUGCUGAAAGCAUCUAAGCACGAAACUUGCCCCGAGAUGAGUUCUCCCUGAGACUUUAAGUCUCCUGAAGGAACGUUAAAGACGAUGACGUUGAUAGGCCGGGUGUGUAAGCGCAGCGAUGCGUUGAGCUAACCGGUACUAAUGAACCGUGAGGCUUAACCUUACAACGCCGAAG
rnacentral:rRNA from 1 species